rnacentral:tRNA from 1 species
GUAUUGGUGGUUCAGUGGUAGAAUUCUCACCUUCCACGCAGGAGACUCAGGUUUGAUUCCCGGCCAGUGCA